rnacentral:lncRNA from 1 species
UUUCAAACACUUGACCACAGCUCUAAACACAUUUCAACCUUAGCAUCUUUUUCUAGACAGACGGGGCGAAUUCCAAUGAAUCAGAACCAAUGCCCAACUCCGUCCGUCAUCCUUAUGGUUGCAGUAUUAAUAAGCAAGCAACUCCUAUGACUCGCAAGUGAUAGGAAAUCACUCGACUUUUACCGAGUCCUUAUUUAGCAUUGUGGCUACUCGACCUAUCAUACUAGUAUUCAAC